GACGAACGCUGGCGGCGUGCUUAACACAUGCAAGUCGAACGGAAAGGCCCUGCUUGCAGGGUACUCGAGUGGCGAACGGUUGAGUAACACGUUGGUGAUCUGCCCUGCACUUCGGGAUAAGCCUGGGUAACUGGGUCUAAUACCGGAUAGGAGCCUUUUUUCGUGUGAUUGUUGGCAAGUUUUUUCGGUGUAGGAUGAGCUCGCGGCCUAUCAGCUUGUUGGUGGGGUAAUGGCCUACCAAGGCGGCGACGGGUAGCCGGCCUGAGAGGGUGGACGGGCACAUUGGGACUGAGAUACGGACCAGACUCCGACGGGAGGCAGCAGUGGGGAAUAGUGCACAAUGGGAGCAAGCCUGAUGCAGAGACGCCGCGUGGGGGAUGACGGCCUUCGGGUUGUAAACUCCUUGCGCUAGGGACGAAGAUUUUUGUGACGGUACCUAGAUAAGAAGCACCGGCUAACUACGUG
rnacentral:rRNA from 1 species